CGCAGCAGAAGGCUGGAGUCAAAAAUGC
rnacentral:piRNA from 1 species